CACAUCACAUUAAAGCAUUGGUACUCAUACAAACACCAAAGUUAAGCAAUAUCAAGCCUGGUUAGUACCUAGAUGGGUGACCACUUGGAAAUGCCAGGUGUUGUAAG